rnacentral:lncRNA from 10 species
GAAGGGCUCCUCAAGUGCCGCCAAAGUGGGAGCCCAGGCAGAGCAGGCGCCAAGAGCGAGGGAGGGCUGUGAGGACUGCCAGCACGCUGUCACCUCUCACUAGGAUUACAGGCCUGAGCCACCGAGUCCCGCCAACUUAUUCAGGAACUGAGCACCUGACCAUAAGGUACCAAGGAGCCAUGGAUUUUGAGGAACGUUCCAUGAAACAAGUGUUGUAUGAUCUACCUAGCCAUACAGUCUGAUGUUGCCAGCAGCAUUCCAUCAAGUGAAAGCAGUGUAUACGUAGGACCAGAAACAAGCAAGAUACAAGUCUGAGCUCUCAUUAUUUGGUGGUCUGAGAAAGCAAGAGAAGAAUACUUCUAGUCACUUCAGGUUCUUCUUAACCACCAAUACAACUGGUGAGGACACAGCAAAAAGGUACCACCUAUGAAACAGAAAGCAGCCCUCACCAGACUUGGAAUCUGCUGGCAUCUUGAUCUUGGACUUUCCAGCCUCCAGAACUGUAAGAAAUCAAUUUCUGUUGUUUGUAAGUUAUCCAGUCUGUGGCAUAGCUUAUAUACCAGACUAAGACAAGGAGAAAUGGCCUCAAAAUUC